CUCCCUGAUAACCACAGCCCAGUGUCCCCACUGCAGUGGGAUCUGGUGUAGUCCUGCUGCAUCCUCAACCUCACUGUCCAUGGCUUUUCCCACCUCCCAAAGCAGUAGUAAUGCCCUGUCCCACCCCUUGCUCCCAGGGUAGCAUCUGACAAGGACAGGGCAGAGGGAGCAUACAGGCAGAACCGGGGGUUUUGUCAGUUUGCUGUGCCAAGGAAAUUAAAAUGCAUUAUUUUGUCACUAACUUGCAGCUUUUCUCAAAAUACUGGCAGCCACAGAGAUUUUCUCCAGCCCCAAAGGAGCACUUUUAAGUGCUUCAUUUUAAGAAGAUACUUCUUUCCCUGGUCUUUUCUUUUCAUUUAUUUUUUGUGUUUGUUUUCAAACCUGUCGGAAAGCACUGAUAUUUCCAAGCUUUGUUGCUGCUGUUGUUGUUGUUUCCCUCCUGAUGCUUUUCUUUCCUAUUUCUGAGCAUCGUUGCUGGUUCUGUGUGAGGCCCCUGGAGGCUGUACAGCAGCAGGAUGUGAUGCCAGAGCCUCUGCCUUGCUGGGUGAGCUGCUCCACUCCUCGAAGCUUUGAAGCUGCCACUUCACAUUCCCGCAGAAGAAUCGUGCUGUUGUUUCUUGAGGAAAUGAUGAAACACUUUGAGAAGAGACAUCAAUGGGAACAAUAAGGGCAGCGACCCCAGUAGGCCCCGGCGCCCGGCUGGUGCCAUGGCCGGCGCUGGCCGUGAUGGUGGCUGAGAGUGAAGGCCAGCAGUCCCCACAGACAACACACAGGUGAGGGCCAGCAGCCCCCACAGACACCCCAAAGGUGAGGGUCAGCAGACACCACAGACACCCCACGGGUGAAGGCCAGCAGUCCCCACAGACAACACACAGGUGAAGGCCAGCAGACACCACAGACACCCCACGGGUGAGGGCCAACAGUCCCCACAGACACCCCACGGGUGAAGGCCAGCAGCCCCCACAGACACCCCACAGGUGAGGGCCAGCAGACACAACAAACACCCCACAGGUGAGGGCCAGCAGUCCCCACAGACACCCCACAGGUGAGGGCCAGCAGUCCCCACAGACACCCCACAGGUGAGGGCCAGCAGACACCACAGACACCCCACAGGUGAGGGCCAGCAGACACAACAAACACCCCACAGGGAACUUCCAUGCCUUAGACAGGAACGUACCAGCACGUCGUCAGUGGAGAGCUGCUCAUGUCAAACCCCCAGUAUUGCUGCUCUCACUUUGCUGCUUCAGUGCAACCUGGUUCUGAAGCAAAAUGUGAAGCUGGAAUCCCACGUGUUGGAUGAGCUCGGAUACACAGGCUGGACAAAUAUUUGGAAAAGUAUUCGCCUUCACUAGGCAACAUUAUGCAAUGUGGAUUAAUUAUUCAGAGUAUGGUCCUGACUGGGCUUUGGAUGAUUAAAGCUGUUCUGGAAUUCCAGAGGAUUACUUAAAUGUGCAGCAUUAGUGGAGAGCUUGCCUGGCUCAGAGGAGGAUUUGCCAUAUUACAUGAUUCUUCCCAAUUGUAAUCAGCCUUAAAUCUGAAUAAAAGCAGCAAAUGGCUGACUGGCACCCAGGCUUCCCUCCCUCCCUGCCCCCAUGGCAGCGGCAGCAGCGGCUUCGAGCGGGAAAAGACACGACUGCAGCGCUGGGUUUGCAUUAGUAUUCAUGGAGCAUCCGACUCCAGAGAGGAUUAAUAGACUCUGAUGCCUAAUAUCCUGGAGAACAAUUAAUUUGCCCACAGUUUUGUCAUGGUUGAAAGUCAAAUGCUGGAACAGAUCGAUGCACUGAGCUGCAAGUUGAACACUGCAACCUUCUGCUGGAGCUGAAUUUUAAUUUUCCCAUCAUCAUUUCCCUCCAUUCCCAGCACACCAGUUUUCUAAUAGAUCUAAAAGCCUCUUACCUUCUUC